GGUUGGCUAGCUCAGUUGGUUAGAGCGUCGAGCUAAUAACUCGAAGGCCAUGGGUUCGACCCCCAUGCUGACCA